ACAAAGAAAGUUUCUUUUUAGAAAGAAUAGAGGAGUUAGUGGAGUAGUAGACCUUAUAGAUAAUGCUUCAAAAGGAUCCCAACAGAUUCUUAUCAACUCAUAGAAUGCUUUGGAAGGGCUCUUUGGGAAGAUCUAGUCUAGCAAUUCCCAACCUUUUUGAGUAUUUUUUAAACCGUCAAAAGAUUCUAUUGAUAUUCACUUUUUGACUGAGAAAAUGCAUGAUGACAAAAAGCUACUGUAAACCUCAGCAGCAUUUUAAAAUGAACUUGCAUUUUAGUAAUUAUAGCAUAAAGUUUGAAAAAUAGUAAUAUACACAUGCAAUACGUUAAUUGAUCUGCAUGUCUGUUUAUAAUAUCGACGUAUUUAAUGAAAUGGAAUUCUUGGUGGUUCUCAGUCUAUAGUCUUAUCAUCUAAGGAUUAAAAGCAGAAGCUACUCUUUACCUUUAGGUCUAUUUUGGAGAACCCUACUUGCAAUUCUCCAGAGAGCCACGAGGUGGCACUGUGACAUAGUGUUGGUAAUUUAGGAAACAGGAGAGACAGGGAGGAUUCAACAGGUGUUCAAGUACAGAUGAAUCAGCUCAACCUGAAGCAACUGUUAGAGAAUUAUACUCUGUUCUCACUUAAGACCAUCAGCACUGCCACAGAAAAUGACUGAGCGCUGACUUCUCAAGAAAUCAGAUUGCAUGCACAUUCGAAAGAAAGAUCUCCAGUGGGCCGGAGAGCCUGGGUAUUCUGAAACGCUGCUGCUGAACACAGCUAAGAUGGUGAGGCCAGUCUGAGGCCUUUUCUAAUCUGGAUAAUGGUCAAGGAGUUAGUACUAGUGAAAAAGUGGAGAAUUUGGCAAACACACUUGCAUUUGUUCACCUUCACAAAGCACAUCUGGAUUUCUAUUUGAAGGCAAAAGAAAUCAAUGGCAAGGACUUCCCAAUUCCAGAAUAAUACUUUCCCUACUGCUGGCCUCAAGGGAUAAGGAGUAAUCACAAGGACAAAGCUAAUUCAUCUCUUAUUAUACCACUUCUCUGAUUGAUAGGCAUUCCAUAUCUAAUGGUGAGAAGGAAUCUAAAAAUACUGCCAAAGGUGUUGCCUUAUCCUGGGCUCCAAUGGGAACAGAGCACAACAUCAUGAAGGUUCUUAGCAGGACUGGUAUGAAGUGGCCUAAAAUUAAGGGCACCAAAGCCUUUGGCACAAGGCUGCAAGUUAUACCUCAGAGCUACCCUAAGUCAUCACUUUUAUCAGGACUAUAUAUGCUCGAUGAGACAUCAAGAAGGGCAGCAAGACCAAAGGUCUGGAGCAACCAACUAAAAUUCAUAUCCAUUUAUAUAAGCUCUGAUAGACCAUGUGUUCUGCUUGGCUGGUCAGAACAGCCACACCCUAAUGAAUGAAGAGUGAAUUCCUAGUAAGGAGAACCCAAAUUCUGUAUGGGAGGAGGAGGACAAAGGCACUAUAUAUGGAUCCAAUCUGGAAGAGAGCAAUCAUGGACACAUGAAAGGCUAAUUACCUGCUCCUCUCAAAAGGGAUCACUUUAGAUUAUGGAAAAUGAAUGUCUAGGUGGUAUGGAGAUGAGAAGGGCAGAGAGAAAAGUGCCUGAAAUUAGUAAUCCAGGGUCUGUUCUCUCAGCCUUUGUCUAUAUGAGGCUGAUACAGGAAAUACCCCAGAAAGAGACCAAGCAAAGAAAUGCUAACCGAGAAAAGGAAAGCCUACAAGACAAUCUCUGCAUCAUUCCAGGACUAUAUAUGGAAGUACAAAUGGGAAAGCUCUAGUCACUUAGGACUAUAGGAUGAACAAAAGGCUAAUUAUUCAAAUCAACAGUGUCAUUUGACCAUGGUCUUACAUCACUGUUAGUAAUAUGUGCUAAAAACAAAAAAAAUCCUUAUCAAAGAGAGUUGGGAAAGAGUUAUCUGGUGUUCAACAGAUGGUCAGCUCUGUAUGUCAUUCUGUAUAUGAACAAAUACAGAUCCUCAAAGGCUCCUUUCUGGCAGCUUAGCAAGCACCACAGAAAUGAAACCUAUUUUAUAGCUAUAAAGGAUCUCUGAGAUGUCCACCCCUUCAUUUCACAAAGAGAAGAGUGUGGGAGGAGUACCCAGGGAGGGGAAUCAUAGGUUCUAGGCCCACGUCUCCCAACUUCAAGUUCAGGUUUGAGAAAAGCAAAAUUUCUUUCCUCCAGUGAUCCCUUAGCAGUGAUAAAAGCAAAGUUGAUUGGAAGAGCAUUCACUUUCCAAAGUGUUUUGUAUUCACAAUUCUGGGAACUGGCAGGAAUUAUCACCAUUUUAUAGACAUCAACUGAGGGCCAGAGAAGUUGUCUAAGGUCAAAAGUUAGUAGAAUUAGGUCCAAAAUCCCAACCCAGAUAUUUAUAAUGACAUCAAUAAAAUACAACACAAAACUUAAAUCUCAUGGCUAUCUAUACUUCUGGUUAAAAAAGGGGAAGAUGAUCUAUGUUGUCGAUGGUGUAUCUACAGUCUGCAAGACUUCCUCAGAUCCUCUGACUCAGAGUCCUCAGACAAGGACCAGUUUCCCAGUUUCCGUUCUUUGGAUGAAGACUUUAUACUAAGAAAAUGACUCAAAUUCAUGACCAAGGAAAUAAGGUGCCACCACUGAGCUGACUUUCAUUCGCGUUCUUGCCAAAUGACAUGACUCACUAUACUCUCUGCUUUUCCAUCCUGUCCUCUCUAAAAGCAUCCAUGCCUCUGGCUCAAGCAGCUGCUUGGAAUGAACUGGCUAUCCCAUCACCAGAGGCUUAAGUCCAUCCACCUUUUCCUUCAAGAUUUAAUUUGGAUGCUGCCUUUGACAUCCUCCAUGAUAAAAAUAGUUUAUUAUUUAGCUAAUUUCUACAAUUUCUCACUGCAUUCUGCUUUCCUCUCUUAUGUUCUUAUCUUUUUAUUUCUACUCUUACUGGAAAACAAGACAGUGUCAUGAAAACAACAAUAGACACAGGGUCAGAAAACAGAAUCAAAUUCAGAGAAUGCCAUUUAACAAUAUAUGACCAUCACAGCUACUAAUAAGCCUUUUAAAAACUCACUUUCUUCAUCAGUAUAAUGCGGACAGAAUUCAAGUCAGCAAACGUUUAUCAAGAGUUUAUUAUAUGCUAGGGUUGUAAUGAGAACAGUAACAAGAACAAAGGUAAUCCAUCCUUACAUGAUAAAGGUUUGGAUUUUUGGGUUUUUUUUUUUUUUUUUUUUUUUUUUGCACAGGACAGAAUUUAGGGAAGGAGGGCACAUUUCUGCACAGAGUAAGUAGCAUCAGGCUAAUUCUAAGACAGAAAGAGGAGGAAAAUGCAUUUGGAGAAUGUGUUGAUGCUUGUGCAUGACGGAAAUGAGAUGGAACACUUAACAGUUUUAAUAUGGCUGGAAGCAAGUAUUAUGAAAUAAAGUUGGAGCCAGGCUAUGAAGGCUUGAAUGGUGUUAUUUUCCCCAAAAAGACCUAGGAAACAUUGCAGACUGUUAAAGUAGUGAAAUGGUCAAAUGACAACCUACAAAUAUCUGGCUCAUAUAUGGCUUUGUAAACUUUUACAUCUAUCAAUAAACUAGUAUAUAUUAAGUGCCUAAUCUAUACCAGGACCUGUGCCUUUAUAAAGCUCCUAAAUUUCAGGAGCCUACUGAUAUUCUUGGGGGGGGGAUGAGGGGGAAGAUGACAUAUUCUGCUAUAUAGAAUAUAUAAACAUAUAUAAAAAUAUAUACCGAAUAAGUAUAAGAAGCUAAAUCUUUUUUGGAGGGAAGGAGGAGGAAGAAAAGUACUAAAAGUUAAGGAGAUCAGGAAAAGUUCUAGGAAGAGGAUUUCAUAGUGUGAGAACUGAGCCUUAGAAAAUGAGGGAUUUUAAGAGGCAAAUAAAGGAUCUAAGUAGAGUCACUGCCAAGACCCAGUGGCAUCUGAUGGGAGAGGUGCCGUAUGGGAGGAACAGGAUGGCGGCCAGUUUGACUAGACUGUGUGGUUUAUGAAGUAGAAUCAUAAGUUAAUAAGGCUAGAAAGGCUAGAAAACUAGGCUGGAGAUGCUUGUGAAGUCUUUACCCUCCAUUAUUCAGGAAUAGUUCACAUCUAAUCAUGGAGGAAGUGAUCUGGUUAGCCCUGUACUAAAGAAACAUACAUACAUCACUAUCACAUAUGUAUGAAAAAAGGUCUUGGAGCCCAAAACUCAUUUCUAUCUUUUUUUCCCCUGUUUUUCCCCAAGUUCCUAACUCCUUAUCUUAUACACAGUGAUUAUUUAAUACAUGUUUAUCUAUCGAUACAUGAAUGUUGGUUCUGCUGGGUUCUGUGGUCAAAACUAGGACUGCCUUGUUGAAAUUUGUGCAGUCUUGAAGUUUUAAGAGUUCAACAUGCAUUAAUUCAAUACCUAACCUCAUUCAAAGGAAACAGAACAGAAUAAUGAACUCAAUAAAAGGUAGAAACUGUGGGUUAAAGUCCUUUUAGAAACAUGCAUGCCAUCACCAGCACACACUUUUUCUCGCCCCUCCAUAUCCAAUCUGUAACUUUGGCCUGUCACUUUCACCUGUGCAGCAUCCCUUUUCUCCUCUGAUGUUGCCCCCACUCUAUUGCAGACCCUCAUCAUCUCUAGCGUGGAAAGUUGCAAUACUCUGUUUUUUUGUUUUUUUGUUUUUUAAAUUUCAUUUUAUUUAUUUAUUUAUUUAUUUAUUUUUUGCAAUACUCUGUUGAAGGGUCUGUCUUCUCCAAGUCUUUCCCACUCCAAAAACCAUUCUGUUGGCAAAUUUAAUAGAAGAUCAUAUCUUUAUCACCCCAUUAAGUCAAUAAACUCUAGUGGCUCCCCUAUCACUUCUAGGAUCACAUAAAAACGCUUUGUUUGAUAUUCAAAGUCCUUCACAGAAGUCUCUGGCCUAUCUUGGGAAUUGUACCAAGCACACUCUAAAACUCUUAAGCUAAAUAAAACCAGUGUUGGCAAUUUCUAUAAAGGGAAUCCCCUAAACCUAUGAAAUUUUAAGUCCAAAGAGAGGGAGGGGAGGGAAAGGAAGGGAAACAUAGAACUAGAAACAAAAAAAGUUUUUUUUUUUUUUUUUUUU